rnacentral:lncRNA from 1 species
GAACAUUGGAUCAAUGCUACUUGUUUCAAUUUAUGAGAUGUAAAAGGAAAACGACAAGAUGGAUCAGAGCGGUGUAGCAAAUAAAAGCAAUAAAGAUGAAGAGGCCACGCCACCUCUCUGGCCCUAACCUUGUAAAAUUCUACCUACGAAAAAUCAAUCAAGCUUCAAAUUGUUGAAGAACAACCAUCAGGGACGAACAACACUUAGCAGCAAGUGACAAAUUCAACAUAAAGGCCAGGCGAAGAAUCAGGUGAAAAUAAUGGUCUGUUUGUUCCUGUUCUGAGAAACAAAAUAACUUUUUCCAGAUCCCACUGUUUAUAUUUCCAGUUCAAUAAGAAUUAAUUGUGACAGGCAUCAGCGGGACAAGUAGAUCAUAGAUCAAGAACACACAACUCUUUUAACUACAGAAAAUGAUAAGAGCAAAGAACGAAGAUCGAGAUCGAGAUCGAGAUCAUACAUAC